UUUGCUCUUCUUUCUUCCUUCUACGACAGAUCUCUAUCUUCCCUUAUGUUUCUAGUAUCUUACUCUUUGUCUUUUUCUUUCAUUAUUCCCCGCAAAUCUCAUCACCUCUCUUUUUCUUCGAUAUGUUCAAUCCUCUUCUCCUGGAUCCCGAGCUUUUCUACUAAUUCGAAGUAUUACUCACAGAUCUCCUCUCGUUUCGAGACUCGGUUUACUUACUCAGAGAACCAGAUUCGUGUCUAGUUUGAAGCGGUUGAGUUUGAAGCCACAAUUUCGUGUCCUAGAUAUGUUGUUUCGUGGAGAGCUUGAUAUUGGAAGAAGACAGAGGAAGAGGACGACGGCUCAGAUCUGUUUGACGGGUUUGCGACAUGGAUAUUACAUGGAGUUGGAUCGAGGAAGAUAGGAGAGAAGAGAUGGAGUUGGUUUAGAGGCGAGGGAAGAGAGACAGAUAAGAAGUUUGAUGGCGGUGGAAGAGUAGAUUGAUGCAGUUGGUUGACGAUGGCGAAGAGUUGGUGCAGAGAUAGGAUUAAUUUUUUUUGUUAGGUUAAACCGGUUUAGUUUUUUAUUUAUUUCUAAACCGGGUUUAUGUGUAAACCUUAGGUUAAUUAUGGUUUGGUUUAAUUUUUUAAUCUGUUUUUGGUUUAACGUGUUCUUAAUCAUUUGUAUACUGAUUUUAAUCAAUA